rfam:Myotis lucifugus cont2.29373, whole genome shotgun sequence.
GGUGGUUCUCAGGUGACACACCCCAGAAUCGAACUUCCUCCUCUCUGGUUCUGGGUGUGUCACCCAAGAACCGCA